AUCUAGCUGACGAGUUCUAAACAGGACGAAAUGCGUAUCCUGGAU
rfam:Trichobilharzia regenti genome assembly, scaffold: TRE_scaffold0024516